AGUUUUUGGACGUAAGAACACGGAGAUCGACAAGUUCAAAGUUUGGCCGGAACUUUCUAGGCAUUUUCCGGCGAAUAUCCGGCGAGUUAGGAGUCGAGGUAGGUAUCAAUCUCUUCGUCUCGUCAAUUACUACAACUUUCCUUUUUGUUUCACUCAAUUUCGUUGAGUAUUGAAGAAGUUAUACUCAUUUGAAAAAUACCCAGUUUCCGGCGACCUCCGAGGCUUUCGAGGCAUUUUCCGGCCAAAAUACGGCGAACUAGGUGUUGUGCAAGGUACCAUUCUCUUUGUCUCUUCAAGGGCUACAACUUUCGUUUUUGAAUCACUUAAUUUCGUUGAGAAAUGACAAAGUUAUAGCAAUUUGAAAAACUGCCCAGAAAACGGCCGCCGGAAAAACCAGUCCGGCGACCCAAGGAAGAAGAAGGUGCUACAGUAAAAAUAAAAAAAAUAAAAAAUAAAAUUAUUUUAAAAAUAUGUCGACGUCCGUGACGUCGAGUAGAUCACUGUGGUAUAUUCAUAUACCUAAAUUGAACACCGUAUGAGAAAGUUAUUGAGGAUUGUUGGUUAGGUGUUCGAAUAACGUUUUAUAGUUUUCACAUUAGGUGAAAAUGUGAAUUGAUGAUCCGACCGUUGGAUCAUCACCAAACUUUGAUACGUUGUAAUACGUAAUAUUUGAGGAUUAUUGGAACUUACGGAUUGGGAAUCCGAGUUACUGAUCUUCCGGAAUUGGAAUUGUAAGUCCAUAAUAUAAAAUGUUAACCGUCACUUAGUUUUGGAAAUUGACGGAGAUCCGACCGUUGGAUGGUAAUGAAAUUUUAGGAUGUUGUCCUAGAGGUAUAAUGUGGACCUCUGGAAGUUAUGGAUUUAAAAUCUGAGUGGCAGAUCUUCCGGAUCGAACUACGUAGUGACGUAUUUUAUAUAAGUUAUAUAUAUUCUAUCACUAUGAAUUCUGAGGUUGGAUUUGAUUACUAUUCUAGGCGGCGAUCGUCGUGACGCCUUGAUGUGUGGUGCUAGGGAGUUGUUGGAUGAACUCCAGGUGAGUGGGCAGUUUUGUUUUCCGUAUAUAUAUAUACUUGACGUUUCCCAGAAAUUGAACUGAAAUGAAAAUAUGUUUAAAAUGAAAUGCAUAUGAGUUAUGUGGAAAAACGGGAAGUGAAAUACCAUGCAUAGAAUUGAUAUGAAAAGUAUAUAGAAAUGUGAGUUGAAAUGCCAUGCAUGAAUUAAUAUAUGAUGCAUAUGUAUGAAUUGGUGCGGUGGACGCACAGGUAAGAAUUGAUUUAUGAUGCAUAUGUAUGAAAUGGUGCGGUGGACGCACAGAUGAGUAUUUAAUUACUGUUAUGAUGAUGAUGAUAUAUAUUGAGCUCAAAUCCUGCACCAUGGUUUAGUGCUUAUAGUAUUCACCGCAUCGCACGCUCGCCUUGGAUCCAAGUAGAUGCUAGUCGUACAGUCCACGCGGAGUGGGUACGACAGACCAGUCGCGAGAGUGUUAGUGAGAUUCCGACUGGUGGGUGACCUUAGAUUAUGUGCACAGAUGAUUUAUGAGAAGCACUAGAGCGUAACUUGCGUGCAGAAGGCCGGACGGGUCACAGAGGUGACUCCGGUAGAGUGAUAAUGAUAGAUUUUGAGCUCUAGGUUCAACCGUAUAGGGCUAUUAGAGGGCCUACGGUUGAUUACUUUCUUGCACCUGUUAUGAUUAUGUUGAUGCAUUCAUACCUUAUUACUGUUGAGAUGAUGUGGCAUGGCAUAAUUAAUAUGAGAAAUGUUGAGAUGAUGUGGCAUGGCAUAAUUAAUAUGAGAAAUGUUGAGAUGAUGUGGCAUGGCAUAAUUGUAUGAAAAUGUUGAGUUAACGACUUGAAGUCUUGAGAAUAUAUAUGUAUAUUUAUAUUUUACAUUUCUGGGAAAGUAUACAGGUUUUACGGAGAGGGGUUACAACGUUUUGAGAAAUGUUUGGAUUUGGAAAAGAAUUGUUUUACUGACCCACUCAAUUUUGGUUUUGCGCCCCUCCAGGUUCAGGAAUCACAAAGGUGUGGUGACUACGAGGAAUUCGACGGUGUUCUGACAGAUUGGACAAAAUUAGGACUCACCUUCGGGUGUAUCAACUUAUAAAUUGUAUAAUUAAAGCUUCCGUACUGUGCAAAUGGUUACGUCACUCUCACGUGACGGCCAGCAUGCCCUCCUUCGGGACGGGGUGUGUCAGUUGGUAUCAGAGCAUGGUUGCAAUCUUGGACAUUUUGAGAAGUUCUAGUGAAUUCUGUCAGAACUACACCGCCUCGUAGCAAGCCACUUAGUUAGAGGAAUUUAGUCUCCCUAAUAUAGCGGUUUAGGGAAAACUAUUAUUAUGGUGAUUCAGUCUAUUAUAAAAAGGGACAUUUUAAGACGGGUUAUGAGUUGAAUUUGAAUCACCUUAUGAAAUGAUGAACCUGAGGGAAUGAAGUGACGGUUUAACCGUUUGGAAAAGAAGUUUCAGAUUAUGCAAGUCAAAGGAAUCUUCAUUCUGACAAGGGGUCGAGACGACUACCUGGUUUUGGGUAUGAAUUUGUAUCCUGGUGGAAACAGGAUUGUUAAUUGUUGUCACCGGAGAAAACAGCUGAUUGAGAAUUAUUUAAGGACUUGUUUAAGGAAAAGUUUAUCCCUCCGGCAUUUAUCGAUGGUAGUAAGCAAGAGUUUGCAAAAGUGAAUCAAGGAAGUUGACGAUAAAUGAAUAUUAUAGAAAGUUUUCAGACUUGCCUCGUUCCAUCCAGAUAUUUGAGACAAGGUGUCUCGAGUAAAGGAAAUGUACCUUGUGCAGCAGGUACAAAAUUAACACUUUGGGAAGUGUGAAAUUAAGGAAUGUGUUUAUGUGAACAGAGGGGACACAAAAUUGUGAAUCGUCCUUAGAAUCAGUUGUACUCAACAAUUUUCCAUGAUAUCAUAGUGUUGAUUCAGUAGAGUUAUGGACUUAGUAGUUUGGUCGGAUUGACCGUGAGUACAGAGAGAUUUGAUGAGUUAUAUGUUCAGCCGUACAGACCAUGAGAAAUUGGUGAGUUAUAGGUUCGGCCGUACCGACCACGCGGAGUGGAUCCGGCCGACGUAUUAUUGAGAUAAGAGUUGAAUCAGCCGUAUUGGUCAUUCUAGUUGACUUCGGCUGAUAUAUUUCUUAUUAUGUAUGUUAUUACCCUAGAGAGUAGUAAAUAAAUGUAGUUGAGACGAGUGUAUGUAUUUUGCAUUGAGUAACAAAAUAGUAAUGUUAUAUCUUUGAGAGUGGUUGCCUACUUAUCGAGACAACGAUGAUUUAUCAGUAUUGCGGGCUGCAGACCGUAAUAUUAAUAACUCAUUCGUGGAUUCGUUAAGCAAGCAACCCGGUAGAUUAUUUUAUGUUAGUAUUGUACUUAUUUAGAAUGCUUAAUAAUAAUAGAAUAUUAUAUUGUAUCAGUUAAUUCUGUUCCAUUAGAUUGGUUGGUUAUAAUUGUGACUAGAUGGAAUGUUACGGGAAACCAGUCACUUUCCAAUGAUCUGGAUGAUCAGAGGUUACCUUGAUGGGUAUGCAAAGUGGAGUGAGACAGACUGUUAAAUUGCUGUGAGAGUAAAGAGGUAGUUAUCGAAGAUCUGUCAAGGAUACUUAGCUUAUGUGAUGCUAAAUAAUGUGGCUCCUAGUAGUUGGAAAAUGUAAAAGUAAUUGGACGCUUUCUUAAUGUUGUCCUUGAAAGUAUAUCUGGAUUGCCUUCAGGCAAAGAUGUGAGGUUCACUAUUGAAUUGUUGCCAGGUAUAAAUCUUAUGAUAGAGAUUGGUUCAUGAUGAGUUAAGUGAAUUGGAAAUUCAAUUGAGGGAAUUGGUUGAUAAAAGUUUAUUCAACCCAGUAUAACACUUUUGAGGAGCACCAGUUCGUUGGUGAAAAAGAAAAUGGACUUAGAGAUUGUGCAUUGAUUAUAGAUAAUGGAAUCGGGUAACGAAUGAGAACCGUUAUCCAUUGUGGUGUAUUGACGCUCAUUUGAUCAGUUCAAAGGUGCUUGUAUAUUUUCAAAGAUUGACUUGAAGUCUGGUUAUUACCAAUUAAAGAUUAUGAAUGACGUUGAUCAUAAGAUGGUUUUCUGGACUUGUAUAGUCUUUAUGAAGUUUGGUGAUGCUAUAUGGAUACUCAUGUUGUUUUAUGAGUUGAUGGAUGAAGUAUUCCAAUAAUGCUUUGAUAAUUGAUAUCAUUUUCGUUGAAGAUAUUCUGGCAUAUUCUGAGCCAGAGCAGAGCAUGUAAACGUAUUAAGUCGGUAGAACAAAGAUUGGAAGAAUGUCGAUUGUAUGCUAAGUUUAGCAAAUGCGAAUGUUGGAUGAAUCAAGUGGCAUUCUGAAAUUGGUUAUGUCUGCUUAAGGUAUUCAAAUGAAUUCUUAAAAGGCAGCAGAAUUGAGAAAUUGGAAUAACCACGAGCUGUAAUUGAGAUUUGGAAUUUCUUAGCUUACCAAGCUAUCUUGGAUGGAUGUGAAAGAAUUUUUAGUCAUUGCUUUGUCAUUGACGAGACUGUUGAGAAAUGAGGUUAUGUAUGAGUGGGAAGGAAAUUGGGAGCAAAGGAUUCAACAACUGAAGUAUUUCCUCACUCAUACACGUAUUUUAGUAAUCCUAGAAGAUAGUGGUAAUCAUAAAUUUUUAGUGAUGUUUCUUGAAUGGUAUUGGAGGCAUGUUGAUGCAAAUGUUAGGGUGAUUGCAUACGUUUCACGAUAAAUGGAACCUCAUGAGAUGAAUUACCCUACGGGUGACUUGGAAGUCAUGAUUACCAUUCUUGCUGUGAAGUUAUGAAGGCAUUAUAUUUGGUAAGAAUGCAAGAUUUUUUUUACAAAUCCAAAAAGUCUUCAAUAUCCAUUACUUGGAAGGAUUUUGAUCUGAGGUAGCGAAGGUAAAUUGAAUUGUUUAAUGAACAUGAUUGUACGACCAGGGUGAUCGUGGGAUUGAUAUAGUUGAAGCACUUGAUAAAAAGAUUGCAGUAAGAAUUAAUGUCUGGCACAUUGGCCAAGAGUAUCAUCUUGUGGAUUGGAAACCAACUAAAGUAAAGUUAAGAAUGAAAGAUCGAGAAGAAGUUAUACUUGCUAAGUUUCAAGUUAGGCCUUUUGGUAAGGUCGUACUCGAAACUUAAAUGUUUGACGAGGAAAUUUAAGAAUUAACCAAGGCAGCGAAAGAAGGGAAAAGAAUGAGUACAUGAUUCGUGAAUCAAAUGGUAUGUGGAUACAAGAAAACAAAAAGUAUGUGCCUAAUGCUGAGGAUUUAAGCAAGCAAAUUUGGACGAAGUUCACUGUUCAACUUCUGCAAUAUUCCAAAAGUAAUAAGAUUUAUCAUACCAUUCGACAGUUUUAUUUGGUCAGCAGAUUGAGGCAGAAAAAGAUAAACCUUUGGAUUAAGAUAACUAUUUUCUGUUUCGCAGUGGAAAUGGAAAGAUAUUACUUUGGAUUAUGUGUACAAGUUUCCUUGUACAUAGGAUGGUUAUGAUCGAAUUUGAAGUGUUAGUUGGGCAAUGUACCAAGUUAGUACAAUUACUCCAGUGCUGAGUAAUAACUUUUUCCCAGACAGGGCAACAGUACUUAAUGUAUUUUGUGUUCGAUGCGUUGUCACUAGGUGGCAGAGUCGUCUCAUGGAAUUCUGGUGUAACUAUUGAGAAUUAAACUGGAUCUAAUUAGUGAGGAGCUAAUGACGACUUUGGAUUGGAAAAAGAAGAUCAUGAGAGUUAAGAUAGAGUAAAUGGUAAAAGUUUUGUGAAGGAAUUAUUCAGUGGAAGAAAAUUUCGUAGGAGAAAAAGAAUCGGAUGAAAGAAACUUACCGAGUUUGGUAUGAGUAUUGAUGGGUUGGUUGGUGGCUGGAAUUUCGGGGACGAAAUUCUAUAAGGAGGGGAGAUUGUCACAGCCCGUCCCGGAAUUUUAAUUCCGAGGACGUGAAAUGACCAAUAUGCCCUUAAACGGGAUUAAGGUGCGUAAAUGUACGACAUUUGUGUUAUCUAAAGAUCCGAAACUAUGGUUAAUUUGUGUUUGGACUUAGGUAGGGCCUCCUACCCUGAAUUCCCUCCCUAAAACCCGUAACCUCUUCUCUCUAUCUUAUUCUUCUCAGAAAACUCUCUCUCACUCUCUCUCUUACUCUCGAACAUACGGACACACACACAACCUCAAUCAAACCUCCACGAACGUCCAAUUUAAGACUACCAUCGUGAUCCUGAGGACUUCACGAACACGUAGACACCAAUUUCAGGUAAGUUUUGCUUCGGAAAACCCUAGUUUCAAAGUUCCCGUGAAAUGGUACUGUUCAUGAUCUUCUAAAUGACUACGUUUUAGGCUAAAACAAGAUCACAGCGGGCUUAGUGAGGUCCCAAGGAAGCUCGGAGUGCUUCGUUGGAAGUUUUUGGACGUAAGAACACGGAGAUCGACAAGUUCAAAGUUUGGCCGGAACUUUCUAGGCAUUUUCCGGCGAAUAUCCGGCGAGUUAGGAGUCGAGGUAGGUAUCAAUCUCUUCGUCUCGUCAAGUACUACAACUUUCCUUUUUGUUUUCACUCAAUUUCGUUGAGUAUUGAAGAAGUUAUACUCAUUUGAAAAUACCCAGUUUUCCGGCGACCUCCGAGGCUUUCGAGGCAUUUUCCGGCCAAAAUACGGCGAACUAGGUGUUGUGCAAGGUACCAUUCUCUUUGUCUCUUCAAGGGCUACAACUUUCGUUUUUGAAUCACUUGAUUUCGUUGAGAAAUGACAAAGUUAUAGCAAUUUGAAAAACUGCCCAGAAAACGGCCGCCGGAAAAACCAGUCCGGCGACCCAAGGAAGAAGAAGGUGCUACAGUAAAAAUAAAAAAAAAUAAAAAUAAAAUUAUUUUAAAAA
rnacentral:lncRNA from 1 species